UACAGAGGGUGCGAGCGUUGUCCGGAAUCACUGGGCGUAAAGAGCGCGCAGGCGGUCGUUCAAGUCGCGUGUGAAAGCCCCCGGCUCAACUGGGGAGGGUCACGCGAUACUGAUCGACUCGAAGGCAGGAGAGGGUAGUGGAAUUCCCGGUGUAGUGGUGAAAUGCGUAGAUAUCGGGAGGAACACCAGUGGCGAAGGCGACUACCUGGCCUGUUCUUGACGCUGAGGCGCGAAAGCUAGGGGAGCAAACGGG
rnacentral:rRNA from 1 species